UGCGUAGGCGGGCUAAUAAGUCAGUGGUGAAAUCUUCCGGCUCAACCGGGAAACUGCCAUUGAUACUGUUAGCCUUGAGUUAGAUUGAGGUAGGCGGAAUGUGUAAUGUAGCGGUGAAAUGCUUAGAUAUUACACAGAACACCAAUUGCGUAGGCAGCUUACUGGACCUACACUGACGCUGAGGCACGAAAGCGUGGGGAGCGAACAGGAUUAGAUACCCUGGUAGUCC
rnacentral:rRNA from 1 species